AUUGAACGCUGGCGGCAGGCUUAACACAUGCAAGUCGAACGAGUGGCGGACGGGUGAGUAAUGUUUGGGAAAUUGCCUGCUGGAGGGGGAUAACUACUGGAAACGGUAGCUAAUACCGCAUACCAUCGGAUGUGCCCAGACGGGAUUAGCUAGUAGGUGGGGUAACGGGUCAACGAGGCGACGACCCCUAGCUGGUCUGAGAGGAUGACCAGGCACACUGGAACUGAGACACGGUCCAGACUCCUAUGGGAGGCAGCAGUGGGGAAUAGUGCAAAAUGGGCGAAAGGCUGAUGCAGCCAUGCCGCGUGUAUGAAGAGGGCCUUCAGGUUGUAAAGUACUUUCAGCGGUGAGGCGUUACCCGCAGAAGAAGCACCGGCUAACUCCGUGCCAGCCGCCGCGGUAAUAC
rnacentral:rRNA from 1 species